GCCACUCCAUGUGCUUCAGGCACACAUUCACUGCCUUGGCAGCACUAGCAAUCCAGCCUGUUGGAUCCAGAGGACAAAUCUGAGUGGAACUCAGACACCUGGCAACCACCAUCCCCAGGACCUCCCUAUGAGCCUCCUGACCUGCACACAGUGGCCAACGUGUAUCUGACGUGUUUCUAGACCUUUUCCAAGUGUGUCACCAACCUUGAUGCCCAGCUCGAUGUUCUCCCCUCCGUACACGUCCAUCCCGGGAUCCAGGAGCCCGAUCUCCCCGAAGAACUUCCUGUUCACCACGAAGGAGCAGCCGAUCAUGGCUGGAGUCCUGCACGGAGAGAAACCCAUGGGAAGGCACACCUGUCUAGUAACAGAGUAGACUUCAGGACAGACAGCAGUUUCUAUGGAAUCCUGUAAAAGAGGGUUUCCCAUUUGGAUCUUUAUAAUACAUCACAGAGGAGCCAUCACCAAGAGCAACGAGGUCACUGCAAAUCCUUUAAAAACUCAAGACAACUGUUUGCAGAACCACCAGCUGGAUCAUUUGCCCAGUACCAACUGGGCUCUGGGUUAGAGAUGUCACAUCCAUCCUGCAAAACCUCAAAAAAACCUAAGAGUGCACAGCUCCACGCUACAAGAGCAGCCGAGCUCAGGGUCUGGUCAGGGAAAUAACAGAGAAAAAUGA